UACGUAGGGGGCUAGCGUUGUCCGGAAUUACUGGGCGUAAAGGGAGUGUAGACAGCUUGUCAAGUUAAGUGUGAAAGCCCGCGGCUUAACCGUGGAAUUGCACUUAAAACUGGCUCGCUAGAGUGCAGGAGAGGUGAGCGGAAUUCCUAGUGUAGCGGUGGAAUGCGUAGAUAUUAGGAGGAACACCAGAGGCGAAGGCGGCUCACUGGACUGUAACUGACGUUGAGGCUCGAAAGCGUGGGUAGCAAACAGG
rnacentral:rRNA from 1 species